rnacentral:misc_RNA from 1 species
GAGGCUGCGGAGCCGUGUCCAACUUCAAUGCAUGGUGAGGACUCAACUAAAUGCGAGGACAGUGCAACAUCGAUGCGCAGCAAAGAAGAGUGGCAAAAAAGAGAGCUCAGUCCAACUACAACAUCUGGAGAGAAUGAGUCGCAUAAGGGCGAUACCUGUUGAUGAUAAAGUAAUUGUUGGACUUGUACAGUGAGGUAAGAUGUUAAAUCUUUUGAACUUCAGUUAUCGUGAGCCCCCAAUUUGAAAUUCCUGAAAUUUGAUUUGCAUUAGUAUUUCUGUUUCAUGUAUAAUUUUGUGAUUUUGGGCUGCCAUGCCACCUCCAAUGAUGGUUGGUUAGUUUAAUGGCAAAAUAUGUCCUCUUUCAGCUUAUUAUUAGAUGCUUAGGCAUAGGAGUAGAGGAUUAAAGUUGAAAGUAAUUGAGUUACACCUCCGCAGAUUUGUUCCAUAAAUAUUAAAUACAUUUGUCUCUUUUAAUGGUUUCCUUCCUUGAAAGAAAUAAGAAAUAGCCAUAAAUAGUUUCAAUAUUUAUGGAACAAAUCU